UCACAGUUCUGUAGGCUGGACAUACAAGUACGAAGUGGUAUUCAUUUUCAAUACAAGCCAUAUUGCAGCAUUCACAUAGACGCAUAUGUCUAGGAAUAUUUUUAUAUCGCCCUAAUUCCAAAUUCAGUUUCAAAGUACCACUUCUCAAUUUUGUAAGUAAGUUACUAUUAAUAAAAAAAUCUAAAUAAUUCUCUAUUACAAAGUCUGUUUUGAGGUGUUUAUAAAUACACAGUUUUUCACAAUCAUUUAUUGAUGCAUACCAAGUUUGUAAAUACUGGUCCUUUAUACGAGUUUUUAUAACAUCUAACUGUAUAUUUACAUAAUUCUGUGCAGUCCAAACAUAGUUCAAACCAAGAUUAAACAAUAAAUCACGAACACUAGACGCCCAGUUCUUUUUACCAUUGUUUGCAUCUUCUAAUAAAAGUUGGUAAACAUCAUAAACAAUAGGUGGCUUAUUUACAAUAAUA
rnacentral:lncRNA from 1 species